AUUGAACGCUGGCGGCAGGCCUAACACAUGCAAGUCGAACGAGUGGCGGACGGGUGAGUAAUGUCUGGGAAACUGCCUGAUGGAGGGGGAUCACUACUGGCAACGGUAGCUAAUACCGCAUACCAUCGGAUGUGCCCAAAUGGGAUUAGCUAGUAGGUGGGGUAAAGGCUCACCUAGGCGACGAUCCCUAGCUGGUCUGAGAGGAUGACCAACCACAGUGGAACGGAGACACGGUCCAGACGCCUACGGGAGGCAGCAGUGGGGAAUAUUGCACAAGGGGCGCAAGCCUGAUGCAGCGAUGCCGCGGGUAUGAAGAAGGCCUUCGGGUUGUAAAGUACUUUCAGCGGGGAGGCGUUACCCGCAGAAGAAGCACCGGCUAACUCCGUGCCAGACGCCGCGGUAAUAC
rnacentral:rRNA from 1 species